AGCCUAAAUACUCUCCAACGACCGAUAGUGAACAAGUACCGUGAGGGAAAGGUGAAAAGAACCCCGAUAAGGGGAGUGAAAUAGAAUCUGAAACCAAAUGCUUACAAGCAGUCAGAGCAGAUAUUGUAGCAAUACAUUAUUCUGUGAUGGCGUACCUUUUGCAUAAUGGGUCAGCGAGUUAAUGUAUAAAGCAAGCUUAAGCCGGUAGGUGUAGGCGUAGCGAAAGCGAGUCUGAAUAGGGCGAUUUAGUUUUAUGCAUUAGACCCGAAACCAAGUGAUCUAACCAUGAUCAGGCUGAAGGUGUGGUAAUUCGCACUGGAGGGCCGAACUAAUUAUCGUUGCAAUGAUACUGGAUGAAUUGUGGUUAGGGGUGAAAGGCUAAUCAAACUUGGACAUAGCUGGUUCUUCGCGAAAACUAUUUAGGUAGUACGUUAUGUGGUUACCAACGGGGGUAAAGCACUAAAUAGGCUAGGGGGUCCAAAAGACCUACCGAUCCUAAUUAAACGCUGAAUACCGUUGAGUAUAACAUAGCAGACAGACUGUGGGUGCUAAGGUCCAUGGUCGAGAGGGAAACAGCCCAGACCGCCGUCUAAGGUCCCAAAGUUAUCACUAAGUGGGGAAGGAAGUGGUGGAGCCAAAACAGCUAGGAGGUUGGCUUAGAAGCAGCCAUCCUUUAAAGAAAGCGUAAUAGCUCACUAGUCUAAAUAAGCUCUUCUGCACCGAAAAUUUAACGGGGCUAAAGUGAUACACCGAAGACGCGGGUUCCUAUUUUUAUUAAUAGGAGCGGUAGCGAAGCAUUCCGUAGGCCAUUGAAGGUAUACUCGUGAGAGGUACUGGAGGUAUCGGAAGUGAGAAUGCUGACAUGAGUAACGAUAAAGAGUGUGAGAAACACUCUCACCGAAAGCCCAAGGGUUCCUAUCCAAUGUUAAUCAGGGUAGGGUUAGUCGGUCCCUAAGACGAGGCCGAAAGGCGUAGUCGAUGGAAAUCAGGUUAAUAUUCCUGAACCUGAGGAUGAGUGACGAAGUUUUAAGUUUAUAAAUUCUUAACGGAUUGAAAAUGUGAAGUUAAAAUUUCCAGGAAAUAGCCUCCUCAUAAAGGCCGUACCAUAAACCGACACAGGUGGGCGGGUUGAAUAUACUAAGGUGCUUGAGAUAACUAUCAUGAAGGAACUAGGCAAUUUACACUCGUAACUUCGGGAAAAGAGUGGCCUGUCUUGGGCAACCAGGAACAGGUGGCAUAGAAAUGGGGGUGGCGACUGUUUACCAAAAACACAGGACAAUGCUAAAUCGAGAAGAUGACGUAUAUUGUCUGACGCCUGCCCGGUGCUGGAAGAUUAAUUGAUGCGGUGCAAGCUGCUGAUCGAAGUCCCAGUAAACGGCGGCCGUAACUAUGACGGUCCUAAGGUAGCGAAAUUCCUUGUCAGGUAAGUUCUGACGCGCACGAAUGGCGUAACGAUCUCCCCGCUGUCUCCAUGAUAGACUCAGUGAAAUUGGAUUCGACGUGAAAAUACGUUGUACCUACGGCUAGACGGAGAGACCCCAUGCACCUUUACUGCAGCUUUACACUGGUUCUAGGAAUAUGAUGUGUAGAAUAGGUGGGAGACGUUGAAGCUCGGAUGCUAGUUCGAGUGGAGUCAAAAUGUGAAAUACCACCCUUUAUAUUUCUGGAAUCUAACUAGACUUGCUGAAUCGUGGGUUAGGACAAUGUAUGGUGGGUAGUUUGACUGGGGCGGUCGCCUCCCAAAGAGUAACGGAGGCGCGCAAAGGUAAGCUCAGACUGGAUGGAAACCAGUUUUAAGAGUGUAAUGGCAAAAGCUUGCUUGACUGCGAGACUUACAAGUCGAGCAGAGACGAAAGUCGGUCAUAGUGAACCGGUGGUUCUGUGUGGAAGGGCCACCGUCAACGGACAAAAGGUACGCUGGGGAUAACAGGCUGAUAGUGUCCGAGCGUCCAUAGCGACGACACUGUUUGGCACCUCGAUGUCGACUCUUCAUAUCCUGGGGCUGAAGAAGGUCCCAAGGGUUCGGCUGUUCGCCGAUUAAAAUGGAACGUGAGUUGGGUUCAAAACGUCGUGAGACAGUUUGGUCCCUAUCUACCGUAGGCGUUUGGAAAAUUGAAAGGAGCUGUUCUUAGUACGAGAGGACCGGAAUGGACAAACCUAUGGUGUACCAGUUGUUUCGCCAGAAGCAUCGCUGGGUAGCUACGUUUGGAAUGGA
rnacentral:rRNA from 1 species